rnacentral:rRNA from 1 species
UACGGAGGGUGCAAGCGUUAUCCGGAUUUACUGGGUUUAAAGGGUGCGUAGGCGGGCUUUUAAGUCAGUGGUGAAAGCUUCGAGCUUAACUUGAAAAUUGCCAUUGAUACUAUUAGCCUUGAAUUCAGUUGAGGUCGGCGGAAUGUGUCGUGUAGAGGUGAAAUUCUUAGAUAUGACACAGAACACCAAUUGCGAAGGCAGCUGGCUAAACUGACAUUGACGCUGAGGCACGAAAGCGUGGGGAUCAAACAGG